rnacentral:lncRNA from 10 species
UUCUAAACAUAACUACAUAAACAUACAAUUUAAAUUAUCAACGUUAAUUUAAUAUGAUGGAGAAUGAAUGCUGUUUGUUUGAGUCUAAACCACACAUGCCAGGCUUAAUAUAGAAAGAUUGACAUUCUAGAUCCACUUCUAUAUGUAUAGUCUGCAUCAGUUAGAAAUGGCAACUAAUAAAAGAGACCCAGAAGACCACAGUUUAAGUGAAUUGAGGUUUUAUUUUUCUCUUGUGUCAGAGUAAUCAGGAAAUAUCCGGACUCUUCUGCGCUAAGAGCCUUAGCACGAGGCCAGCAAGUUCAAGGUGCCUGAUGGUCACAAUAUGGCUUCUGUGGCUCCAGCUAUUGCAUCUGUACUCCCUGCAAGAAGAAAAUAGAAGGAGGGAAUCAUGCCCCCCAAGUACACCCAUCUCUUUUGAAAAGUCUGCUCAUAAAUCCCACCUAACAACCUUUGCUUGUGCCGCAUUGGCAACUCUAUAUCUAAGGGAGACAGAGAAUAAAAUAUUUUAGCUCAGCGUAUUAGCACCUCAGAUAAAAUAAGGGGCCUGUCGCUAUGGAGAAAGGGAAGAAUGGACUUGGGAUAGGAGAGUACCAGUGGCUGCCACACUCUAUUUUUGUUUUCUAACUUGUAUAAUUCCAAGCAAAGAAUGCCUUUUGAAAUGGGGUAUUGGUCAAAACGGUAUGUGGAAUGGGAAACUUUAGCCUGUUAGCUCUGGAUAAUCAGACCUCAGUUAAAUCAGAUUUCACUUAAUCUACUGAACUUAACGAGGCAUCACAUGAGUACACAAGAAGGUAGUCUGCUUUGCAUAAGCCAGAUUUUUGAAAUCACCAUUAAAUGAG